rnacentral:rRNA from 1 species
GACGAACGCUGGCGGCGUGCCUAAUACAUGCAAGUAGAACGCUGAAGAGAGGAGCUUACUCUUCUUGGAUGAGUUGCGAACGGGUGAGUAACGCGUAGGUAACCUGCCUUGUAGCGGGGGAUAACUAUUGGAAACGAUAGCUAAUACCGCAUAACAAUGGAUGACACAUGUCAUUUAUUUGAAAGGGGCAAUUGCUCCACUACAAGAUGGACCUGCGUUGUAUUAGCUAGUAGGUGAGGUAAUGGCUCACCUAGGCGACGAUACAUAGCCGACCUGAGAGGGUGAUCGGCCACACUGGGACUGAGACACGGCCCAGACUCCUACGGGAGGCAGCAGUAGGGAAUCUUCGGCAAUGGGGGCAACCAUGACCGAGCAACGCCGCGUGAGUGAAGAAGGUUUUCGGAUCGUAAAGCUCUGUUGUAAGUCAAGAACGGGUGUGAGAGUGGAAAGUUCACACUGUGACGGUAGCUUACCAGAAAGGGACGGCUAACUACGUG